UACGUAGGGUGCAAGCGUUAAUCGGAAUUACUGGGCGUAAAGCGUGCGCAGGCGGUUUUUUAAGUCUGUCGUGAAAUCCCCGGGCUUAACCUGGGAAUUGCGAUGGAGACUGCAAGGCUAGAAUCUGGCAGAGGGGGGUAGAAUUCCACGUGUAGCAGUGAAAUGCGUAGAGAUCAUGAGGAAGACCAGUGGCGAAGGCGGGUCUCUGGACAGUACCUGACACUGAGGCACGAAGGCCAGGGGAGCAAACAGG
rnacentral:rRNA from 1 species